AGUUUCUCAGUAUUGAGGAUAAGAAAACUCAGACUGUCAGGAGCUUUUACAGAAAGAGCCAGAGACGAAGGAAGGCAAGGAACAGAUUGGAAGCUGCUGAGUGUAAAACGUCUCUCCCUGGAUUCUUAUCUACUGCACCGCAAAUCUUCAGGUCUCUUCGCUUUUUAAAAUUCACGCACAUCCAACAAAGGCCUGAGAGAGCUCCGGUUUGUUCCGCAGGUGAGGUUGAAACAGAAGAAGGUUACGUCAUGUGUAACCUUGGACGUGGCGCUGUGUGUCUGCUGAUCACCAAGGGGCUUUGUGUGUGCUGUUGACCAUAGGGGUGUGUGCAUGCUCUUAUUGCUGUUAAUGUUAUGAGUGGGCUCUCACUUCUUCUCUUGUAUUAAGUUAUACCAGUGACACUAGCAUUUCUCUAUCUUUGAAAUCCUCUUUAUACAAGGCUUAUGGGUUUCAUUACUGAAAUUUCACAAGCGUCUUAAGUUUUAUUGGGGUCGUAAAUAAACACGCUGUAAGAUGCAAAACUA
rnacentral:lncRNA from 1 species